GACGAACGCUGGCGGCGUGCCUAAUACAUGCAAGUUGAGCGAUGAAGAUUUGUGCUUGCACCAAUUUGAAGAGCAGCGAACGGGUGAGUAACGCGUGGGGAAUCUGCCUUUGAUCGGGGGACAACAUUUGGAAACGAAUGCUAAUACCGCAUAACAACUUUAAACAUAAGUUUUAAGUUUGAAAGAUGCAAUUGCAUCACUCAAAGAUGAUCCCGCGUUGUAUUAGCUAGUUGGUGAGGUAAAGGCUCACCAAGGCGAUGAUACAUAGCCGACCUGAGAGGGUGAUCGGCCACAUUGGGACUGAGACACGGCCCAAACUCCUACGGGAGGCAGCAGUAGGGAAGUUUCGGCCAUGGACGAAAGUCUGACCGAGAAACGCCGCGUGAGUGAAGAAGGUUUUCGGAUCGUAAAACUCUGUUGGUAGAGAAGAAAGUUGGUGAGAGUGGAAAGCUCAUCAAGUGACGGUAACUAAACAGAAAGCGACGGCUAACUACGUG
rnacentral:rRNA from 1 species